rnacentral:rRNA from 1 species
GAUGAACGCUGGCGGCGUGCUUAACACAUGCAAGUCGAACGAUGAAGCCCAGCUUGCUGGGUGGAUUAGUGGCGAACGGGUGAGUAACACGUGAGUAACCUGCCCUUAACUCUGGGAUAAGCCUGGGAAACUGGGUCUAAUACCGGAUAGGAGCGUCCACCGCAUGGUGGGUGUUGGAAAGAUUUAUCGGUUUUGGAUGGACUCGCGGCCUAUCAGCUUGUUGGUGAGGUAAUGGCUCACCAAGGCGACGACGGGUAGCCGGCCUGAGAGGGUGACCGGCGACACUGGGACUGAGACACGGCCCAGACUCCUACGGGGGGCAGCAGUGGGGAAUAUUGCACAGUGGGCGAACGCCUGAUGCAGCGACGCCGCGUGAGGGAUGACGGCCUUCGGGUUGUAAACCUCUUUCAGUAAGGAAGAAGCGAAAGUGACGGUACCUGCAGAAGAAGCACCGGCUAACUACGUG